rnacentral:rRNA from 1 species
AGGCUCAGUAACACGUGGACAACCUAACCUAUGGAGGGGGAUAACCCCGGGAAACUGGGGAUAAUACCCCAUAGACUAUGGAUGCUGGAAUGCUCUGUAGUUGAAAGGUCCGCCGCCAUAGGAUGGGUCUGCGGCCGAUUAGGUUGUUGUUGGGGUAACGGCCCAACAAGCCUGUAAUCGGUACGGGUUGUGGGAGCAAGAGCCCGGAGAUGGAUUCUGAGACACGAAUCCAGGCCCUACUGGGCGCAGCAGGCGCGAAAACUUUACAAUGCGGGAAACCGUGAUAAGGGAACUCCGAGUGCCCGUAAAAUCGGGCUGUCCAUCUGUUUAAAUAACAGGUGAAGAAAGGGCCGGGCAAGACCGGUGCCAGCCGCCGCGGUAAUACCGGCGGCUCGAGUGGUGGCCACUAUUACUGGGCUUAAAGCGUUCGUAGCUGGUUUGUUAAGUCUCUGGGGAAAUCUGCCGGCUCAACCGGCAGGCGUUCCAGGGAUACUGGCAGACUAGGGACCGGGAGAGGUGAGGGGUACUCCAGGGGUAGGAGUGAAAUCCUGUAAUCCUUGGGGGACCACCUGUGGCGAAGGCGCCUCACCAGAACGGCUCCGACAGUGAGGGACGAAAGCUGGGGGAGCAAACCGGAUUAGAUACCCGGGUAGUCCCAGCCGUAAACGAUGCGCGUUAGGUGUAUCGGUGACCACGAGUCACCGAGGUGCCGAAGAGAAAUCGUAAACGUGCCGCCUGGAA